ACAUGACUUAGUUAGGGGGCAAAUAUUAAUAGAAAUCUAAUGUUUAUUAGAUUUCUCUCAAAGAUAGGUUGUUUAUUGAAGGAACAAUCUGUUCUGUUGUAUUAGUUGUUCUUCAAACACCCUUUCACAUUU
rfam:Medicago truncatula strain A17 chromosome 6, whole genome shotgun sequence.